AGAGUCAUAGGUCACUCCGCUUCCACACAAACUUAGUCCUCAGGAAAAGUCUCCCUUCUUCUUCUUCUUCUUCUUCUUCUUCUUCCUCGUAAAUAAAAAUACCCUCUGAUUUCCUCUUUGUUUAUAGCUGAUCUCAGAUCAGUUCGUCCUAAUAUUUUACUACCCAAGUCUUCGUCAGAGCUUCAGAAAUGAAGAAGGUGGUGCUGAAACUUGAUUUGCACGAUGACAAGGAGAAGCAGAAGGCUUUGAAAGCCGUGUCCGGCCUUGCUGGCAUUGAUUCCAUUGCUAUGGACAUGAAAGAGAGAAAGUUAACUGUGACUGGCAAUAUUGAUCCAGUUGAUGUGGUAAGCAAGUUGAGGAAAGGUAACUGGCACACUGAGAUUCUGACAGUUGGGCCGGCGAAAGAAGAGAAGAAAGAUGAUAAGAAAGAUGGAGGAGCUAAGAAGGAAGAUGAAAAUAAGAAAAAGCCAGACCAGAAUCAACAAAUUGCCGACCUUGUGCGAGCCUAUCAAAAUUAUAAUCCACAUAUGACGAGUACUAAUAGUAGCAGUUUUCAUGCUGACUAAUAUACUGAAAAUCAUUACAUCAACAAAUUGGACGAGAGACCAGAUCGAGUUGCGCUUAUUGGAGUACUCAUCGCAUAUAAUCCAAAUGUACUUGUACUUCAUAUCGUCAACUUUCAGAGUACCUGCAGUUGGACAAAUGUAGAGAAGAAAGAAGCUGUAGCAGCAAUAAUCUUUGACCAAAGAUGCCGUUGAGAUCCAGGAAACAAAAUUUGGCUUUAGAUGGAAGAAGAAAGAACUUCCAGAGAAAUAUCACUUUUUUUUUGGUGUUGGUUUGUAAUUGCCAUGCAUGUUGGUUUUUGUACAAAUUCUGUGCGUAGAUAUGUCAAGUCAUAACCAAAAACCAAAACCAACAGGCAAGUUAGGUGCAUUUCAUCUCACUAGGCCUUAGAAACUUGAAAGUCAAUUGUACCUCAUAUAAGGUUUUAAACUUUUAAUCAAGUAUAAU